CUUUUUGGUGGCUGUGCCCACCCCCUUUUCCUACUUUAGAUUGCAAGCUCAAUUGUCAAUGACAACAAGUUCUUUUUCCUUAUUUGUAUGGACAGGCCUUAGCACAGUGCGUGGCACAUAGUAAGCACUUCAUGAUUGCUGAAAAUUAAAUUGAACUAUUCCAAGGCUACAGAUGAAGAAGAGAUCAUGUUGUAAAUUCUGAGGAUGCAGAAAUCCCCCGGACAUCAUUGUGUGGGUUUCUUCCAUCCAGCCCCAAGGACACGUUGCACGUGAACCUGCCAGCGGUGACCCAGAAUGUGCUCAAGGUCUCAAUCUCUUGCAAGGGAGCAACAACUAAAGAUGGGCCUUUCAGGAGAAGACAAGAAGGCAAAAUAUGGAUUUGUUCAUUUCUCUUUUGACAUAGAGAAUGACCAAAUUAGCAUGUUCUUCAUUGAAAUGACGUAUUGUACACUCCUCAAAGAACUGGAAUUUAAACAGGAAGAGCUGAAAUUGAAAAAAUUGUCUCUAGAGGUAAAUCAAAGAUAUAGAGAGGACCUCGAAGUUAUCCGUAUGAAGACUGAGGACCUGCUUAAUAAAACAAAACAAUAUUCAACCACAUUUGAAGAGAAUAUGGAAACUAAGAAAGUGGAAAAAACAGCAAAAGAAAAAUUAUCGGCCCCAGAUCAUUCUCAUUCAAUGCCAGGAUCAAAAAAAGAACAGCAACAACAAGAACAAGAAGCAAUAAUAGUAGAAGCAGAAGCAGAAGCAGAAGCAGAAGAAGAAGAAGAAGAAGAAGAAAGAAGAAGAAGAAGAAGAAGAGAAAGAGAUUAGUAGAGACAAAUCUACAGUUACUAGGGCUCAAAAGAUGCUAUCCAUGUUCUGCAAUAUCAAAGGAUUCUGUGGCCUGAACUUAUUUCAUUUUAAAAAACGUGAAUGACCAAAGAAAGUAUAUAAGCUGGAAAACUAUGGACAAAAG
rnacentral:lncRNA from 1 species